UGUAGUUGUAUUGUAUUGCCAC
rnacentral:miRNA from 1 species